rnacentral:rRNA from 1 species
UUUAAACGGCCGCGGUAUUCUAACCGUGCAAAGGUAGCGUAAUCACUUGUCUUCUAAAUAAAGACCAGUAUGAAUGGCUAAAUGAGGACAAACCUGUCUCCUGUGACCAAUCAGUGAAACUGAUCUUCCGGUACAAAAGCCGGAAUAACCCCAUAAGACGAGAAGACCCUGUGGAGCUUAAAAUUAUAACUACCUAAAACUAGCACUAAUUUUAAGUUGGGGCGACUUCGGAACCAAAUAAAACUUCCGAGCAAAGAACCAGCAAUUCCAACAAGGCCUACAUGCCAUGAGCCGACCCAGUCACACUGAUCAACGAACCAAGUUACCCCAGGGAUAACAGCGCAAUCCCCCCCAAGAGUCCAUAUCGACGGGGGGGUUUACGACCUCGAUGUUGGAUCAGGACAUCCCAAUGGUGCAACCGCUAUUAAAGGUUCGUUUGUUCAACGAUUAAUAGUCCUACGUGAUCUG